CUUGGUAAUCAUGGAGCCAGUGGGUAGCAUUGCCACCUCGUAUCUCUGGGACUUGAGUCCUGCCCUGACUUAGUGUACGAUUUCUCCUGUAAUCCAAUGACAAAAUCGGCAUUCCUAAAUUGUGCAAAGAGGCCUUCGGGAAUAAACAGCAGUAGAGCAGAGAUGAAACCAGGUCAGUACUAGAUGUACAGCAACGUUCCCAUUUCCGCGGGUGAUCCGGUCCAUCACCUACCACAGAUGUCCAAAACCGCGGAUAACAGCAAACCAUCCACGGACCACGUGAAAGGGGAUUCUGAUGUUUUAGCCUAAUUCUUAACAGGAUACAGCAAUGAAAAUCAUGCUUUUAAUACAUUUGUGUAAUACCGACACUGAGAUAACAAGGCAAUGAAUGCGAUCGGUGUGAAAGCUAGAG